rnacentral:rRNA from 1 species
AAGGCUUCAGUACGACCCAGUCAGAACUAUAAGUCUCGAAGCCCCGACGAGUAGGGUGGCGUGCCGGUGAGCGUUGAAGGCCAAGACGUGAGUCAGGCUGGAGCCGCCGGUAGUGCAGAUCUUGGUGGUAGUAGCAAGUACUCUGGUGAACCAACCUGGAGCUGUGAGGUCUGGAUUAGGGUUCCAUGUCAACAGUGAUUGAACAUGGGUGAGUCGUACCUAAGCCAGCUGCGAAGGCAGUGACAUCCCGACAAAGGUGCAUAGGGGGUGUGCCCCUACGCCAGUGAACGCAUCACACACACACACACAGGCAGGCAGUUGCAUAAAAGGAUGAUGAUGACUCUUUUCAAUACGCUCAAGGGCGUUACUAUGGCAAGCGAAAAAGCCAGCACGCACGGUGACGACACGGUGGGAGAAGACUCCCUUACAUGGCAAGCAAAAAGGCCAGCAUGCAUGGACGGUUGGAUAAAGGUGAUGUGUUGUGUGUGCUCUGUCGUGAGGCGUUUGAGAUGCGCACACUAUGACGUCUGCGUUGGUUCUUUGUCCGGCGAAAGGGAAUGGGGACUUUGUUCCUUGACCGGUCCCGGCACCCUCGAUAGGCUUCGGUCUUUUUCAAUGGUCCAUGCAAAUGGAACCAGGCCACAGCCGCCGGCAGUCGCCCGAGGAAGAGUUUUCUUUUCUGCUUAACGCACGACAUCAUCCCUGGAAACAGUUCGGCUGGCGAAAGGGUGCCCCGUUGCGGCAGAGCGCCACGACUGUCGUGCGCGUCUCGGUGUACCUGCCGGUCCGUGAAAACGUGGUCGAGGGGAUUGCACUUGUACAUCAAUCAAACGCCCGACAAGUUCGGGACGGACCGUACCCUAUAUCCGCAUCUGGUCUCCAAGGUUCGUAGCCUCUGCAGAGUCAGACACAUGUAGGUAAGGGAAGUCGGCAAACUCGAUCCGUAACUUCGGGAAAAGGAUUGGCUCUGAGGGCCGAGCUGGGCCGGGCCUUGCCUGCAAAGCAGUACCUAUAGUGACCGGAGUUUAAUGGAGUGCGAGGGGCUCUAGUAGCUGCCUGCGUUCACGCGUGGGCACGAACGAGUCUACCGCUCCGCUCCAACCACGAACGGCUGUGACGGCAAGGGCUCUGGGCGGGAGCGCUCAAUCCGCUGCCUCUCCAGCUUCGUCUGGGUGGUGGCGGUGCUUCGUCUGUCCCAUACGGCUCCAGCGGCUAGCGGCUAACUCAGAACUGUCAUGGACCAAGGGAAUCCGACUGUCUAAUUAAAACAAAGCGUCGUGACGGCCCCUGUUGGGUGUUGACGCGACGUGAUUUC